AUAUCCUUUUACUAAAUUGCACAAUAUUUUCAUAAUAAACAGUUACUGCUUUUUAUUUUGUAAUUACACUGAAGCACAAAGUUAUUUGUGUCUACCAAUUGUCAUGAAUUUGUUAAAUGAAGGAAAGGCUGUAAUACAGUCUAAGAAAGAUAGUUUUGUAAAGGCUAUUAUGAAGUACAGGAGUUGAUAUUCCUUUCUUUUCUUUUUCAGCUCUCUGAAAGUGAAGAGAACAAAUUUCAAGUUAGAGUCUGAGAAGAUUAAUAGGGACAUCUGACUCUUGUGGGGGCAACAGUCCUCUCAUGUGGCAAUGCAUUAUGAGCAACAAAAAAGAGUUCAACUUCAGCUAUCAGCCUGCACCCUAGGACCAUUACUGACCACUACUGAUGCAUCACUUGCACCGUGGCACAUUUUGAUGUCCAGGAGAACUCAAUACUUCUGCCAUAAAGAAUGUGGACAUGAAGACCAGCUUGUAUAUUUCUGUCCCUGAAUGCCUUCCACUUGAGGAAAAACCUGUGUGCUUUUCGAAAAGGUCCCGAAACCUAAUUUAAAAGCAUCACCAGCAGGAAAAACCCAUCACGAAGUGGGAGAAAAUCUUGAACAUUAUUAAUUUGAAUCAUGGAGCUGUAUAGAAACAGAUAUUGAUACAAUGCGGCUAACGUGUGACAGAGUACCAAAUGGACGUCCUUUGAGAAGUCAGUUCUAACUUCCCUAAGUCAUCAGUUCUCUCUUAGUAGGCCAUAUUUUUUAGGGAAUAGCUCAACAUGUGUAUCAGUCCUAAAUUCUUUUAAGCUGCAUAUUUCUUUUGGAGUGAAAAUCUGAGACAGUGUAGCCCAUGAAUUGCUGUGAAGACAUCGAAGCCACAUUCCUCACUUUUAAGGGACUGGUGUGGUGGCAUACAGGAGCCUAAUGUUCCAUGCAAUUUGUGAUUUUCCACUUUCCUGAAGAAAUAAUUCUGUUUGUAGUUUUAUGAACUUGCAGUCUUGAAUACACAGUACUGCAAGUCACAAUUUUAUCUAUAGGCUGUUCCAUCUUGAAUGAAGAAAUACUAUAUGUUGUUAAAACCCUGAUCUCCAAGAGUUUGUAAAAAAAAUUAAUGAUGUCUGACUUAAAAUGUAAUUUUUAAAAGUUGAACAUUUAUUAUUAAAACUUCUUUCAAAAAAAAAAAAAAAAA